rnacentral:rRNA from 1 species
UACGUAGGGGGCAAGCGUUGUCCGGAUUUAUUGGGCGUAAAGCGCGCGUAGGCGGCGCGGUAUGUCGUGCGUGAAAUCUCCCGGCUUAACUGGGAGGGGCCGUGCGAAACUGCCGGGCUUGAGGUCGGAAGGGGAAAGUGGAAUUCCGGGUGUAGUGGUGGAAUGCGUAGAGAUCCGGAGGAACACCAGCGGCGAAGGCGGCAUCCUGGACUGGUCCUGACGCUCAGGAGCGAAAGCGUGGGGAGCGAUCCGG